rnacentral:rRNA from 1 species
AUUGAACGCUGGCGGCAUGCUUUACACAUGCAAGUCGAACGGUAACAGGCCGCAAGGUGCUGACGAGUGGCGAACGGGUGAGUAAUGCAUCGGAACGUGCCCAGUCGUGGGGGAUAACUAUCCGAAAGGAUAGCUAAUACCGCAUACGAUCUGCGGAUGAAAGCGGGGGACCUUCGGGCCUCGCGCGAUUGGAGCGGCCGAUGUCAGAUUAGGUAGUUGGUGGGGUAAAGGCUCACCAAGCCAACGAUCUGUAGCUGGUCUGAGAGGACGACCCGCCAGACUGGUAUGGAGACACGGCCCAGACUCCUACGGGAGGCACAAGUGGGGAAUUUUGGACAAUGGGCGCAAGCCUGAUCCAGCAAUGCCGCGUGCAGGAAGAAGGCCUUCGGGUUGUAAACUGCUUUUGUACGGAACGAAACGGCUCUGGUUAAUACCUGGGGCUAAUGACGGUACCGUAAGAAUAAGCACCGGCUAACUACGUGCCAGCCGCCGCAGUAA